CUGGCGGCGUGCUUAACACAUGCAAGUCGAACGGAACUCUUUGGAAAGCGGCUUCGGCCAAUGGAAGUUAAGUUUAGUGGCGAACGGGUGAGUAACGCGUGAGGAACCUGCCUCUCAGUGGGGGGACAACAGUUGGAAACGACUGCUAAUACCGCAUAACAUGUACGGAUCGCAUGGUCUGUACAUCAAAGCUUUAUGUGCUGAGAGAUGGCCUCGCGUCUGAUUAGAUAGUUGGUGAGGUAACGGCUCACCAAGUCGACGAUCAGUAGCCGGUCUGAGAGGAUGAACGGCCACAUUGGGACUGAGAUACGGCCCAGACUCCUACGGGAGGCAGCAGUGGGGAAUAUUGCGCAAUGGGGGAAACCCUGACGCAGCAACGCCGCGUGAAGGAUGAAGGUUUUCGGAUCGUAAACUUAUGUCUUCGGGGACGAGAACGGACGGUACCCGAGGAGGAAGCCACGGCUAACUACGUG
rnacentral:rRNA from 1 species